CCUACACGAAGUUGGAAUUGCUAGUAAUCGUGGAUCAGCAUGCCACGGUGAGUACGUUCCCGGGUCUUGUACACACCGCCCGCCACACCAUGGGAGCUGGUGACACCCGAAGUCAGUAGUCUAACCGCAAGGAGGACGCUGCCGAAGGUGGGAUUAGCGACUGGGGUGAAGUCGUAACAAGGUACC
rnacentral:rRNA from 1 species